AUCCCCUGCGCGUCGUAUAUUUAAAUUAUUUACGUAAUAUGUAUGUCUUAUGUUUCCGUUAUACAACUCUACUGUGCUUAUAAUUGUCUGGGGAAGGGUAACAUAGUCUAGGGAGGGUUGAUAACGGUGUCGGGGAGGUUCGUAAAGGGUACAUAUAUACAGAAAUAAUAUAAAAACUAUAUUGCCCCACUUCUCGGAUUUUCCCUUUUCAGUACAGGUCUUGGGACGCAAUUACCGCGAUAGGAGAGGGAUCACUGUAUUCAGAUUUUAUUAGACGAUUUUUAUUAGCUCUUAUUUUAGGACAAGUGGGAUGACCUGAGGUAAUGCCUACACAUUUGUUUCUAGCCCAAGGGCUUUUCCCAAUUUCCCCAGUGCUAUCAUAAACGUGACACCAUUAUAACCCAGGGGUGCAUAUGGGAUUUUUUAAAUGGGCCGAGGGGUGGGUGGAUUUGGUGCUGAGGAGGCAACCUUUCAACAAUUAUACAAUAACCAUAAGAAUUAGAAAUACUGACAUUUAUUUCACAACUUCAAUUCAUCAUUAGUCAUAGCACCCAAUGGAAUCAGUACUUCCUCAAGACACCACAGUUGGCCAAGUUGGGACCUCAACCUGGGUCUUCUUGAUUGCCAACCCAUUCCUCUCCCACUUGGUAUAGGGGGUUCCAUUGCACACACCAGACCAGCACCACAAACUCCUCUGCCCAGGCACAGUGUACUCUGCCCACAUCCACACAGCCCCCCUUUGGUUCUCUGGAGUUCUUCACACAGGGCCAGCACCACAUAGCAUGCUUACUGCAGAAGGGUAAAAGAUGAAGAUGGGACUCACUCCUGUACCCUGUGACGCCUCAAGAAGAGGAUUGUGGACUGAAGACUUCAGACAGCAAAAGAUCAUAAAUUGGACUAUCUUUCCACUGGACAUUUGCCACAGAUGUGUCCGGCGACAGUUGAGCUUCGACCAGGGGAAGCAGCCCUGUACCAGGUGCUUUAGGGCGUCGGCCCCAUCUUGACAGUGAAGCUCUGCCGUGGUUGUGGAGAAAAGCAGAAAUCACAUCACUUGGCCAACAGUGUGUGGAGUCUUCACUGUUCCGGUGGGGUAGUUCCCCUAUACCGCCCCAUACUGCUUCCACUGCUUUCAUUAGUCCUUUUUAUUAGACACUUUCCCUAACUCGCAUUACCAGCAUAUAUAUAAUGAAUGUAUUACAAAGAUCAUCAUUCUUUAAAUAACACAAAAGAAUAAUCACACUUUUAAUCAUUCUUCAAUGCUGCAGCUUCUGUUUGGGUACUUUUCAUUCCAACAUAGUGUUAACUAUUACCCAACUCGUAACCGUUCAGUUGGUACAUCUUGCUACUAUCCCAAUUCCUUAUCUCUGAAUUUGAAAGAAGUUGACUCUUUAUUUCUUUAUUCCAAAUAAUUCUAGGUACAGUACAUGGUGUCCCUAGGUCCCUUUUCUUUUGAACAUGCUUCAACCCCUCGGAACAUGCCUCGUUAUGCCAUAUUGUAAGCUGAAUACGAUUUUUUAAAAUAAUAACCUACUUAUGCCUGGUAUGAUAUACUGGGCUGUGACUUCAUAAAGACUGUACACAACCCUUAUUGACAGCUCCUCCUUGAGUUCAGUCACUAUACAAACCAUCAUCCUCAGCGGAGAGAAGGACAUCAUCCUCAGGAGGUUGAAGGGUGUUGGCACAACGAGGUAGUCGCUCAGCCGGUGUAGAUGGCUUGGGCCAUUGAUCCACAACCAUCAUAGCACUGGGUGUAGGUGAUGGUGUGGGUGAUGUAGGCGGCUCUUGUGAUAAGGCUGAAGUAAUGGGUUUCUCUGGUGUUGCUGAGGCCGAUCCAGAUAAAGCAUUUCUGAUAGCAUCGAUAGUGUGUUUCUCUAUGUGUGAGUCAGAUCCCUUGUGUUCUUUUAUGGAGCAAAUAGGAGAGGAUUUUUAGGCUUACCUUUGUUUAUUACAGACUUAGCAAAAUAGGGAGUUCCAGAGCUCUGGGUCAGAUCUACACGUCCGUGAUAUUUUCUUACAAUUCCCCCUUUUGGUCCCAACUAUAUGAGACCAACCAUACUUGUUUAAACCUUGUAUUCUUGGUCAAAUUCUUUAACUAGUGCCAAGGACUCUGUCUCUGCUGCAAUCAGAGGCAUUUGGUAGGGUGGAGAGAGAUCCUUUUUCUCAAUUGCUGCAACAAUAAUACGGUUACAAAGAGAGCGCAUACAAGAGAGCGAGUACAACAACAUCCACAUAAUGCUAGUGCACAGAACAUUUACAUUACAGAAAGUUAUACCAUCAUCAGAACGUUUCACCACUUCCCAAAUGUUUUGUCCAACCAUGUCACAAAGGGAUUCUUUAUCCUGUUAUAGGGUUUGUAAUCCAUGCAGAGGCCUAGAGACUGAGCCGUGGUGGUGUUUGCUAAACGCUGAACAGUAUAAUGAACAUAAUUAAUCUGAUCCUCGUUUUUGUUAGGCGUUACAGGGGAGGAUUUUCAAAGCCAGUAGCUAUGGGAUCAGCCAAGUUUAUAUUUAUUAGGGACUCCUCUGGGAACACUAAUAGCAUAAAUCAUACGGCAUCUGCUGGAUUUCCCCGGGUUUAACAGAAGGAGUUUCUUUUCAAUUGUUUUUGUUGCUAAGAGAAGUUAUUUUCACUACACCCAUGGUAUUUAGGCUAGCCUGGUCAACUCCCUGUAUAAGAUAUAUAUCCUGUUCAGUUUUGGUCCGGCAGAGGGCAAUUAAGGCCUCCCCACCCCAUGUGGCUAAUUUAAAGGCAUAUUAAUUUGUCAUAGAUUGAAGAGUUAUGCUCAUUUGUCCUCCCACCCUGGUUGUUAUAUCAAUUUUAUCUUUAAAUACAGGUACUGUAGGUUGCACAUAAGGUUCCCACCCACUUCCUGUCCAUGCAAUGACGUACGACCAGGUUGGACACCAGAAGUUCUCACUGGUCCAGGGGCAAAUGUAGUAAUUAUAGCCUUGCCAAUAGUCUCUAUAACCAUAACAGGCGAGUACAUCAUAAAUGUUAAAUUGAUAUGUCAUUGCUUCUUAGGUGAUAUGAGUGAUGUGCACCUUACAAGUGGUAUUGCUGUGGAUCUUGGGUUCUAACCCUAACCCUAGACUGUGUCUCAGGCUCCACUCUCUGUGCAUGUUCCCACCACAGGAGAGGCAGGACAACUACCCAGGUGAUUAUAAACAGGAUACCUGUGCACCACCAGUUGCUCCAUAGAAUACUCACGUUGAAGCUUUAAGCCAAGAUGUGAUUAUACGGAUUACUUUAAAAUAUAAAAAGAUGGUUAUAAGAAAAAAUGAAAAUGAACUAUGUAGCCUGGAGGAUAUGGUGAAGGAUCAGGAUGGGACUCAAGAGGGUAAUGUGGGCAGUGUCGGGCCCAAAGACCUUGUUGGUCGCAUGCGUAGCAUAUCCCUGGGCUGCUUGAUGGACCUCAUCCUCUUCCCCUUGGCCCACCCCUGAACCCUCCCCUACUCUGUCUAGUACCUCCCCAACAGGGCUGUGGUUGCUGCUGCCAAAUAUAAUUUUUAGGAGGCGCAUAUGACGCUAGGGGUGGGCCUUGAGGUGGUAACAUAGCAGGCUGAGUUUGGGGAGGUGGCUGCUGCACCAUCUGUUUCUUCCCCAUCUGUAUCUUUUUAGCUUCAUUCACCCUGUAUUGUGCUUCAUUUAACUGAAGCCUCUGCAGUUGUACCUGUGUAUCAUGCUGAUCAUCACUAGUCUGUUGUUGUUCCUGAUUAUGUGCCUUAACAUGAUGUGUGAGAUGUUUUUCCCAUUUCUCAGUGUCACAUCCUGAAAUAUCAUACUGCCCUGGGCAUCCCUGCCAUUACUGCUUUCCUAAACAAUGUAGUCUGCAAAACAUCUGAGCUGGAGAGGGCUCCAGUUAUGUCUGUCCAUGUAUUCAUCCAUAACUUCCCCCCUACUCCCCUCAGUGGGGCUGGGCAUUUUUUCAAGAAUACAGUUAAUAUCUGUAAAUAAGAAGGGCUGAUACACCCUCUUCUUACUAGGGCCUUUAUCUAACAAGGACAUUGCAGUGGAGGAAACUCAACUUGUCCAGUUUUUGAAUGUAUAACUUGAUCACAGGGGGUACCUGUUUUUUUCUUUUUUCCGCUUUGUGUCAGGGGCGAGAGAAGGAAACUGUACUGUCAGUUAAUGCAGCUGCAAAGUCCUUAUCAUUGUCUGCCUGUUCGUUUCCCACACUGCCAACUCCACCGCAUAUUUCACUUUGCCAUUCCUCUUCUAACUCCCAAUAAUGCCCCUCCGGUUUAUGUCUCAGUUUAUGUUUAAUGUGUCACCAGAAUAUCUCCUAUAGAAUUAUUCACACAUAUAUUAAGGACUGAUUUUAAAAUUAACAAUAACAAUAAUUACACUAUAAGUUAAUCAUAAGGCACUAAGAUUUUUACUUAUAUUUUCUUGCAAAAGAAAUAACAUGAAACACACUGUGGGUUAUUUCUGACAAUCCAAAGUCUUUGUGCUUCAGUGGGUUGGUUAGUCAAGCCACAUUUAGAACAGGUCUGGCCAAACUCACAACUGUUAAAAUGGUACAUCUUGGUACUUUCCCAACUCCUCAUCACUGAAUUAUGUGGAGCUGUGAACCUGUCUGAUUUAACAUGCCUUAUCACCAGCGGCAAAGUACAAAGAACUCAAUCAAACUCAAUAGUGUCUGACAUAUAUAUAGCAGAAAGAGCUUAACAGAUACAAGAAUAGACAGAGUACACAGGAUGAGUCAUUACAACCACUUUAACCAUGAUGUCUAUAGUUGGGAUUGCAAGAACACGAGAUACACCGUUGGCUUCCUAGACCAUAGAUAUGGCAAAAGCAAUGAAUCAUUUGUUGACCUCACUCCUCAGAAAAACACAAUUCUCACACUGCAAACAACACAGAGUCAGAGUCAUGUGACAAACACAACCUCCUUUCCUACCAAGGCCAAUGUGAUCUUGACAUCCUGCGAUUUGGUCAAGGCGUGGUCACCUCCUUUGUUGUGAAGGGUGGCCAUAGAAGGGACACAUAGAGAACAACUGUUCCUUAGACCCUAAUUCCAAUCUAUGUGUUUGGAAUGUUGGAUGAAACAAACGUACCGCAAAAAACCUCAAUCAGAAACAACAGUGCAAAACAGUGCAUUAUUAUUAUUACCUAUUUCCGAUUUAUCUGAAGGGUAUGACAGUUGUCACUCGAGACUCUGACCUGAGGGUACAUAUAUGAACAGUAAAAGGUUUAGAAGGGUUGUUUGAAUAUUAACAAAUUGUUUCUCACGCCAAGCCACUUAAAAAGGUUUAUUACACAUUCAUAUUGUGUGAAUUCAGUGCUCAAAACAUGCAGAUAUUAUCCCCAAUUGCAUUGGGGGAGAUGAAUAAAAACACCAGACAACAUUAAACUUUCUUUAGGUCAAAUUUACUCGUCCUCUUAAAACAAUCUCAAGCCACAUGAAUCUUAACAUUCUCACACAUGGUAAACAGUUAAACAAGAAAUGAAAAUUACAGUCACCUAUGGUUUAUGAGGUCUUGCUUUAGAAAACAGGUGUUAAUGAAACAAGCAGCCUGGGGAUGAACCUAUAUAACCUAUACAUAAAAAAAAACAAAACAAAAACAAAACGCCAAGCUCCAAGACAUUUAAAAAAACAAACA